rnacentral:lncRNA from 1 species
AAACUAUUUCAGACUCUAUAUGAAUGCAUGAAGUUGAAUGAGAAAUGUUCGGAUAGUCACUUAAAGACGGUGUUCUACGUAGGUUCAAUUGUGAUCGGAAUGAAUUUGUAUUCGACCUAAUUCGAACUAUACACCAUUGAUUUAACCAAAACAUCCGAUUCAACUCCAAAUAUAUUCAUUACACUUCCAAUAAUCUAAUACCCCAGAGCAUUACAAUGAACUUGAUUUUUUGACUAACUUCACCAUUUUCCAAAAUUCAUUUUGAUUCCGAACUAACAUACUAAUCAAUGUCUACACAGUCUCGUAAAUCCAUAUAUAUCAUUAGGAAUCAAAUCCAAGUCCAUUUACUAUGAUUUUCUCAGUUUCCAUCAAGCCAUUUUCUAAAGGAACUAUACUUUUCAAUAACCGGUUUCGAUAUCCAACAUCAUAAUUCAUUAAUUCCUAGCUAAAUAACAUGAAUUACAACCAAAUCCAUCAUCAACAUGCCCUAUAGAAAAUUCGGCCAAAUGAGGGUGGUUGAAGAACAUGUGAUUUUCUUGCUUGUUUUUCCUUCCAAACAUCACAAAAUGACUAAAAACACUAGGAUAU